rnacentral:lncRNA from 1 species
GCGGGGCCCACGCGGCAGGGCGAGGCCUGAAGCGUGCUGGGUCCUUGGCGCCCCCGGGCGGGAUGGCGGCCGCAGCAGCCUUUGCUUGGACUUAGGUACCCAGGGCGCUGGCUGCCAGCGUCUGUUCUUCCUACCCGGGUCCCAGCUUCUCAGCCUGGCCUGGAGGGAGACGAGGGUCCGAGGAUUUGUAAAUUGGUGAGACCACCCUGCAGCCCCCAGCCACUUAGAGCCGCAGGCGCAGCCAGGACACCCCCUCUUAGGCCUUCCUGGUACGUUGCAUUCCGUAGAGAAACUACGAAUGUUGCUCCCAGACCGCCACAACUGAACUAGGUUGAGACGGA